UACAGAGGUCUCAAGCGUUGUUCGGAUUCAUUGGGCGUAAAGGGUGUGUAGGUGGCGCCGUAAGUCGGGUGUGAAAUUUCGGAGCUUAACUCCAAAACUGCAUUCGAUACUGCGGUGCUUGAGGACUGGAGAGGAGACUGGAAUUCAUGGUGUAGCAGUGAAAUGCGUAGAGAUCAUGAGGAAGACCAGUGGCGAAGGCGGGUCUCUGGACAGUUCCUGACACUGAGACACGAAGGCCAGGGGAGCAAACGGG
rnacentral:rRNA from 1 species